rnacentral:sRNA from 1 species
CACAUUGUGUAAAUAACACACACGUAUCGGCACAUGCGCCGGGGUGCCUGAAAGCGGUCUGCGCUUGUCGGGUCGGCGUUAUGGGAUACGUGGAGGCAUAAC